CGGAGGAUCCGAGCGUUAUCCGGAUUUAUUGGGUUUAAAGGGUGCGUAGGCGGCUUAUUAAGUCAGGGGUGAAAGACGGUGGCUCAACCAUCGCAGUGCCUUUGAUACUGAUGAGCUUGAUUACACUUGAGGUAGGCGGAAUGUGACAAGUAGCGGUGAAAUGCAUAGAUAUGUCACAGAACACCGAUUGCGAAGGCAGCUUACUAAGGUGUCAAUGACGCUGAGGCACGAAAGCGUGGGGAUCAAACAGGAUUAGAUACCCUGGUAGUCCACGCCCUAAACGAUGAACACUCGAUGUGUGCGAUAUACAGUACGCGUCUAAGCGAAAAGCGUUAAAGUGUUCCACCUGGGGAGUACGCCCGCAAGGGUG
rnacentral:rRNA from 1 species